rnacentral:rRNA from 1 species
UACGUAGGGCGCAAGCGUUAUCCGGAAUUAUUGGGCGUAAAGAGCUCGUAGGCGGUUUGUCGCGUCUGCCGUGAAAGUCCGGGCUCAACUCCGGAUCUGCGGUGGUACGGGCAGACUAGAGUGAUGUAGGGGAGACUGGAAUUCCUGGUGUAGCGGUGAAAUGCGCAGAUAUCAGGAGGAACACCGGUGGCGAAGGCGGGUCUCUGGGCCGAUACUGACGCUGAGGAGCGAAAGCGUGGGGAGCGAACAGG